GAUGAACGCUAGCGGCAGGCUUAACACAUGCAAGUCGAGGGGCAGCACGGGUAGCAAUACUGGGUGGCGACCGGCGCACGGGUGAGUAACGCGUAUGCAACCUACCUUCAACUGGGGGAUAGCCCAGGGAAACUUGGAUUAAUACCCCAUAAGACAUUAGAGUCGCAUGACUUAGAUGUUAAAGUUCCGGCGGUUGGAGAUGGGCAUGCGUGCCAUUAGGUAGUUGGCGGGGUAACGGCCCACCAAGCCUGCGAUGGCUACGGGGUCUAAAAGGAUGGUCCCGCACACUGGUACUGAGACACGGACCAGACUCCUACGGGAGGCAGCAGUGAGGAAUAUUGGUCAAUGGGGGCAACCCUGAACCAGCCAUGCCGCGUGGAGGAAGACGGCCCUAUGGGUUGUAAACUCCUUUUGUACGGGAAUAAUAGCACCUACGUGUAGGUGUAUGAAGGUACUGUACGAAUAAGCAUCGGCUAACUCCGUGCCAGCCGCCGCCGUAAGAC
rnacentral:rRNA from 1 species